UGAUCAUGGCUCAGAUUGAACGCUGGCGGCAGGCCUAACACAUGCAAGUCGAACGGUAACAGGAAACAGCUUGCUGUUUCGCUGACGAGUGGCGGACGGGUGAGUAAUGUCUGGGAAACUGCCUGAUGGAGGGGGAUAACUACUGGAAACGGUAGCUAAUACCGCAUAACGUCGCAAGACCAAAGAGGGGGACCUUCGGGCCUCUUGCCAUCGGAUGUGCCCAGAUGGGAUUAGCUAGUAGGUGGGGUAACGGCUCACCUAGGCGACGAUCCCUAGCUGGUCUGAGAGGAUGACCAGCCACACUGGAACUGAGACACGGUCCAGACUCCUACGGGAGGCAGCAGUGGGGAAUAUUGCACAAUGGGCGCAAGCCUGAUGCAGCCAUGCCGCGUGUAUGAAGAAGGCCUUCGGGUUGUAAAGUACUUUCAGCGGGGAGGAAGGGAGUAAAGUUAAUACCUUUGCUCAUUGACGUUACCCGCAGAAGAAGCACCGGCUAACUCCGUGCCAGCAGCCGCGGUAAUACGGAGGGUGCAAGCGUUAAUCGGAAUUACUGGGCGUAAAGCGCACGCAGGCGGUUUGUUAAGUCAGAUGUGAAAUCCCCGGGCUCAACCUGGGAACUGCAUCUGAUACUGGCAAGCUUGAGUCUCGUAGAGGGGGGUAGAAUUCCAGGUGUAGCGGUGAAAUGCGUAGAGAUCUGGAGGAAUACCGGUGGCGAAGGCGGCCCCCUGGACGAAGACUGACGCUCAGGUGCGAAAGCGUGGGGAGCAAACAGGAUUAGAUACCCUGGUAGUCCACGCCGUAAACGAUGUCGACUUGGAGGUUGUGCCCUUGAGGCGUGGCUUCCGGAGCUAACGCGUUAAGUCGACCGCCUGGGGAGUACGGCCGCAAGGUUAAAACUCAAAUGAAUUGACGGGGGCCCGCACAAGCGGUGGAGCAUGUGGUUUAAUUCGAUGCAACGCGAAGAACCUUACCUGGUCUUGACAUCCACGGAAGUUUUCAGAGAUGAGAAUGUGCCUUCGGGAACCGUGAGACAGGUGCUGCAUGGCUGUCGUCAGCUCGUGUUGUGAAAUGUUGGGUUAAGUCCCGCAACGAGCGCAACCCUUAUCCUUUGUUGCCAGCGGUCCGGCCGGGAACUCAAAGGAGACUGCCAGUGAUAAACUGGAGGAAGGUGGGGAUGACGUCAAGUCAUCAUGGCCCUUACGACCAGGGCUACACACGUGCUACAAUGGCGCAUACAAAGAGAAGCGACCUCGCGAGAGCAAGCGGACCUCAUAAAGUGCGUCGUAGUCCGGAUUGGAGUCUGCAACUCGACUCCAUGAAGUCGGAAUCGCUAGUAAUCGUGGAUCAGAAUGCCACGGUGAAUACGUUCCCGGGCCUUGUACACACCGCCCGUCACACCAUGGGAGUGGGUUGCAAAAGAAGUAGGUAGCUUAACCUUCGGGAGGGCGCUUACCACUUUGUGAUUCAUGACUGGGGUGAAGUCGUAACAAGGUAACCGUAGGGGAACCUGCGGUUGGAUCACCUCCUUACCUUAAAGAAGC
rnacentral:rRNA from 1 species